rnacentral:rRNA from 1 species
GGUUGACCUCGGAUCAGGUAGGGAUACCCGCUGAACUUAAGCAUAUCAAUAAGCGGAGGAAAAGAAACCAACAGGGAUUGCCCCAGUAACGGCGAGUGAAGCGGCAAGAGCUCAAAUUUGAAAGCUGGCUCCUUCGGGGUCCGCAUUGUAAUUUGCAGAGGAUGCUUCGGGAGCGGUCCCCAUCUAAGUUCCCUGGAACGGGACGUCAUAGAGGGUGAGAAUCCCGUAU